rnacentral:tRNA from 1 species
GCCCAGGUGGUGGAAUUGGCAAACACGCUAGCUUCAGGAGCUAGUGCCGAUAACGGCUUGGGAGUUCGAAUCUCCCCCUGGGCA